rnacentral:rRNA from 1 species
GAUGAACGCUGGCGGCGUGCUUAACACAUGCAAGUCGAACGAGAAGUGAAGACGGAAACCUUCGGGCGGAAGACUUUAUUUCGAGUGGCGGACGGGUGAGUAACGCGUGGGUAACCUGCCUCAUACAGGGGGAUAACAGUUGGAAACGACUGUUAAUACCGCAUAAGACCACAGCACCGCAUGGUGCGGGGGUAAAAACUCCGGUGGUAUGAGAUGGACCCGCGUUCGAUUAGCCAGUUGGCGGGGUAACGGCCCACCAAAGCGACGAUCGAUAGCCGAUCUGAGAGGAUGACCGGCCACAUUGGGACUGAGACACGGCCCAAACUCCUACGGGAGGCAGCAGUGGGGAAUAUUGCACAAUGGGGGAAACCCUGAUGCAGCGACGCCGCGUGAGUGAAGAAGUAUUUCGGUAUGUAAAGCUCUAUCAGCAGGGAAGAAA